GACGAACGCUGGCGGCGUGCUUAACACAUGCAAGUCGAACGGUAAGGCCCUUUCGGGGUACGACGAGUGGCGAACGGGUGAGUAACACGUGGGUAAGUCUGCCCUGCACUCUGGGAGUAAGCCUGGGAAACUGGGUCUAAUACCGGAUAUGAGCCUUCAUCGCAUGGUGGGGUUGGAAAGUUUUUCGUGUCAGGAUGUGCCCGCGGCCUAUCAGCUUGUUGGUGGGGUAAUGGCCUACCAAGGCGACGACGGGUAGCCGGCCUGAGAGGGUGAUCGGCCACACUGGGACUGAGACACGGCCCAGACUCCUACGGGAGGCAGCAGUGGGGAAUAUUGCACAAUGGGCGGAAGCCUGAUGCAGCGACGCCGCGUGGGGA
rnacentral:rRNA from 1 species